rnacentral:rRNA from 1 species
GAUGAACGCUGGCGGCGUGCCUAAUACAUGCAAGUCGAGCGAACAGACGAGGAGCUUGCUCCUCUGCCGUUAGCGGCCACCGGGUGAGUUACACGUGGAUUACCUACCUAUAAGACUGGCUUAACUUCGUGACACCGGAGCUAAUACCGGAUAAUAUAUUGAACCGCAUGGUUCAAUAGUGAAAGACGGGUUUGCUGUCACUUUUAGAUGGUUCCACGCCGCAUUAGGUAGUUGGUAAGGUAACGGCUUACCAAGGCAACGGUGCGGAGCCAACCUGAGAGGGUGAACGGCCACACUGGAACUGAGACACGGUCGAGACUCCGAGGGGAGGACGCAGUAGAGAAUCUUCCGCGAGGGGGGAAAGCCUGACGGAGCAACGCCGCGUGAGUGAUGAAGGUCUUCGGAUGGUAAAGCGCUGUUAGUAGGAAAGAACAAAUGUGUAAGUAACUAUGCACGUAUUGACGGUACCGAAUCAGAAAGCCACGGCUAACUACGUG